rnacentral:lncRNA from 1 species
AUGUCGAGUCGUCGAGCCGUCCAAUGCCAAGUUCGCCAGCGGAAGGAGAACAUCUGUCAAGCCGUCCGUCGCCUGAGGCGGCUACACCAGAGGUAUGUCUCCUCUUGAAAGUUAAUCGCCUGAGCUGUCCAUCGCCUGAGCCAUCCAUCGCCUGAGCCCCUGUUUCAGUUUAUUUUUUCCACCUCGCUGCUCAACAGGUCCGUGGGUUACUACUCCUUUGCUCUUGCUGGUGACCGGCCUCAAGAGUAGCACUUGCUUGAGAUCUGAUCUAGAACUGAAUUGUGCCCUGCUUUGCUGUGGUCAUAUGCUCUGCGUCCACCGAUGAGUUUCAGAUACAGAUUAGGACCAAAAUUGGAGUAGGUUCAGUCACGCAAAUGUUGUAUCACUUUGUCAUGGGUAUUGUGCUGCUGAAUUGCUUGUUGGACUGUUCAAACUAAAGUCGUCCAGUCAGUUUGCUACAAUGUCCAUUUGUUUACUUUGGAAGUUCUGUAGAAUUUGGGCCUGGUCACUUUCGAAUUGUCUGUGGUUUGUGAUUAAUCUUUCCGAGAUGUUAGAGAGUGGGUCCAAUGAUGGAUCUGCCCAUCAGUGUGCAGAGGAUCUUCUAAUUCCUGCAGCUAAUCUUGAUUCAUGGAUAUUGUGUUUGCUCUGUGACGCACUAUGUUUCAGUUUAUUUUUUCUGAAAAAUUGGCGCUACUUCUGAUUGCUCACAAUUUAAGUUUUGCUGAUAUACACUGGAGGCAUUAAACCAACAACUUUCUCUGUUUUUUUAUGCAUGCUGCUACAAAUACAAGCACACUGCUUACAAACACACGGCUUCUGCUGGCUUGGCUAGCUUUGUACGUCCACUUUGCGCUACAAGUCGCCUUUCUACGAUGUCUUACAAUCUCAUAGUACAGACCGUGCUCCACCUGAGGUACGCCCGAUCUCAUGCCAAGCUAACUACGGUUCUGUCGUUUUGGAAAAGGCAUGAAC